rnacentral:rRNA from 1 species
CUACGGGGCGCAGCAGGCGAGAAAACUUUGCAACGUGCGAAAGCACGACAAGGUUAAUCCGAGUGGUUUGUGCUAAACGAACCUUUUGACAGUCCUAGAAACACUGUUGAAUAAGGGGUGGGCAAGUUCUGGGUGUCAGCCGCCGCGGUAAAACCAGCACCUCAAGUGGUCAGGAUGAUUAUUGGGCCUAAAGCAUCCGUAGCCGGCUCUGUAAGUUUUCGGUUAAAUCUGUACGCUCAACGUACAGGCUGCCGGGAAUACUGCAGAGCUAGGGAGUGGGAGAGGUAGACGGUACUCGGUAGGAAGGGGUAAAAUCCUUUGAUCUAUUGAUGACCACCUGUGGCGAAGGCGGUCUACCAGAACACGUCCGACGGUGAGGGAUGAAAGCUGGGGGAGCAAACCGGAUUAGAUACCCCGGUAGUC